rnacentral:lncRNA from 1 species
GGUCCGGGCGACAGGAAAUGAAGCCGAAGAAGAAGCGACUCCACGCUAGCUUAAGAACGUUUGAGGUGGGCAUUAUUUUAUUAUUACGUAUAUAGAGAUCCCCUGCGUGACGUAGGCCUCAUAUGCGAAUAUAUAUGCAUGAUAUGUUUUGACUAUUUAUUCAGUUCUUAUGAAAUGCUUAUAUGUUUAAUGCCCUUUAUGAAAAUGAAAAUGUUAUGAAAAUGAAAUGUUUAUGAAAUGAUUGACUGCCAAAAUGUUUAUGUUUUUAUAUGUAUCCUAUCUGUGUUGGUUCGCCAACUUUAAAGGAAAUCCAAUUGGGAUCCUAUGCUAGACAAAGGUCGCUAGCUAGGGUUAACGUGUACACUCAUGGAGAUCGCGAGUCGCUUGCGACCGGUCUUGGCGUCCGUGGUAAGGAGGCCUCCUUCCCGGCGCGUGAUAGAAAGGACAGAUAUGGAUCAUAUAGACUGAAAAUGGGAUGCAUCCAUCUUUAUGAAAAUGAACGAAAUGUUUUAGUAAGCGCAGGUCAUUUAUGAAAACCCCUGUGUGUUACUGUUAUGGCAGUUCAAUUUAUAUAUGUAUGCAUGUUGUAUUUCGGCUUAUGUCACUGAGUAUUUUUAUACUCAGCCCUGCAUGUAUUUCUAAAUGUGCAGGUUGAGCAGGCGAUGGAAUGGAUCGGUGUUGAGCGGAUUUCUCUUUUGAUGUUUAUGUAAUGAAACCUUGAGUAUGCAUCUCCAUAUGCAUAACUCACACGUUUUUCCGCUGCAAACACUCUGACUUAUUUAUCAUUUCUACUUGAACUUAUUACUACUUCAUUUUAAUUAACUUUCAUUUGGGGUCUAGUCGUUAUGGCAGGCUCGUUUGUUAAUUACCCAAG